UCAUCAUGGCCAAUGGCUGCGGUCAACCAUUUAUGGUGUUUGCGAAUGCCGGUUCAUAGCGUUCGACAUGCUUAUAAUGCCC
rnacentral:tRNA from 1 species